AAAAAAUAUUUUUUAUUUUUAUGUUUACAUAAUAAAAUUCUACCAUAUACAAGAAUAUAAAAAUUGUUCAAAUUAUACAUUAUCUGCUUUUUAAAAUGAGGCUAUUAUGGUGACACGUUGUUAAUAAUUAAACAGGCUCAGAUAGGAAAGGCUAUGAAAUCCGAACCGACAAUGGCCUCAAAAAUAUCGUAUAAAAGAUUGAAGAAUCUGGUUGAUGACAAAAAUCUGUUUUUGCUGAUUUUAUUCAUUUACUUUUAUGGCUUCGGGUGUGAUACGGAGGCCAAAUUUUCCACUAGCCCGGCUCCAUCUGACCAUUCUUAUAUCCUACAAAUACAUGAAAUCUUAUUUGUAGAAUCCCCCAUGUAAAUGCCAGAUUAUCUGUAAAUCAAUUACUAUCGAUUAAAAUUUUUUUUAUAUAAAAUUAUUAUUUAAAGUCAAAACGGUAAUCUCCGUAAUGCAUAGAUAAUAAAUUAAACUAGUCAGGGAGUCAGGAAUAAUGGCGUUUAAUGGAAAUAUUUAUCGUCAAGCAGUAUGGCUUUAUUAUUCCCACGUUAUGGCUUGUUUGAUUAGAAGAAAGUUUGGUGAAAACUCCAGAUAAAUUUUGGAUUUACCAAAAAGAACAACAAAGACGGCGUUUAUGCGCUAAAUCCUCCUCUUCUGG
rnacentral:lncRNA from 1 species